rnacentral:rRNA from 1 species
GGACCCUGAUCCAGCCAUGCCGCGUGUGUGAAGAAGGCCUUUUGGUUGUAAAGCACUUUAAGCGAGGAGGAGGCUACUCUAGUUAAUACCUAGAGAUAGUGGACGUUACUCGCAGAAUAAGCACCGGCUAACUCUGUGCCAGCAGCCGCGGUAAUACAGAGGGUGCAAGCGUUAAUCGGAUUUACUGGGCGUAAAGCGCGCGUAGGUGGCCAAUUAAGUCAAAUGUGAAAUCCCCGAGCUUAACUUAGGGAAUUGCAUUCGAUACUGGUUGGCUAGAGUAUGGGAGAGGAUGGUAGAAUUCCAGGUGUAGCGGUGAAAUGCGUAGAGAUCUGGAGGAAUACCGAUGGCGAAGGCAGCCAUCUGGCCUAAUACUGACACUGAGGUGCGAAAGCAUGGGGAGCAAACAGGAUUAGAUACCCUGGUAGUCCAUGCCGUAAACGAUGUCUACUAGCCGUUGGGGCCUUUGAGGCUUUAGUGGCGCAGCUAACGCGAUAAGUAGACCGCCUGGGGAGUACGGUCGCAAGACUA